UGUUGAGCUACAUUUAAAGGAGGGCGGGCCCCUACAGGCUGCUGCUGUUGGUUCACCAUGUAGUGAGGCCUAAUCGUCGGCUGCUGAAACCGCGAGUGCGAGGGAGGAGGCAUUUGUUGUUGUGAGGCUGCUACUGCUUGUGGUUGCCACUCGGGGAUGUCGUCGUCGUCAUCAUUCCAUGGUUGGAUGGCUACCGAGCUGAAGCCACUCCUUUCUCCCCAGUUCACGGUGUAGGCAGCGUUUUUACCUAAGUUUUG
rnacentral:misc_RNA from 1 species